UUAAAAAAAAAUCUUUUGGGCAUCCAGGCAAAAAGACCAAGUGACAUAUAAAAGGAAAAAAAUUAAGACUAUCAUUAGGCAUUGUCUCAGAAAUGCUUCAUGCCAGAAAUAAAAGGGAUAAUGUGUUUUUAAGAAACUUGAAACAAAUGUGUACUGAAGAGUUUAUAUCCAAUCAAACUAAUUUUUAAUUAUAAUGUCCACAAGCUGCUUUCAACAUUCAAGAAUUUAGAGAAUAUUGUUCCCAACGGCCCCUUCUAAAGAAUUUAAAGAAGUGUAGUGUGGUGGGUCCCCCACUAGGUUAUUCGAUGAUGUAUGUCCGCUGCCCGAACUCUGAAGGCCAGGCAAUGAGCCAAAGCCAUGGUGUACAGUCGAGGAGCAAGCGACCCUGAGAACCAAAGAUUUUAGAGAGCAUCUGAGACCCUACCAAGGAAAACAGUCUCAUUACACACAUACAGCAGGCAAAGAGCGAGAAAAUUAGCUUAAAAGCAGCUUAGAAAUGGGAGGUGGGUAGAUCUCUAAAGCUGUCCUGCUUCCCAGGAGUGCCCCAUAGGUAACUCCUAACAAACUCACCUACUGGCCAUGCUGGACCUGUCCAAGUCAUUCUUUGGUCUCUUGACACUCUGGUCAUUUGGCACCUUCCCAGUAAGGAGGGAGGGGAUGUUACAGUCUCAAGUUUUUCUUGUAAUAAGUUUUAGACAUCCAAAAUAAUGAGAGAGGGAAAGAGUUGGGGAAGGUGGAGGUGAAGCAACCAUUUUCCCACUACAAAAGCAUAGCCUGAAACUAAAGACUGCAAAGUGGGUAAUAUCAUUGAACUGCUAGACCAGCUUUGAUCUGUUUAUCUAUAAAAUUUGUGUUAUAUUAGAAAAAUCAAACCCUAUCUGUUUUUUUUAAUGAUACUGUAGAAGAGUAUUUAAUGACAUAGAAAACUGUUCAUGAUAAAUUAAUUAAACAAAAAGAGCUAAUUAUAAAACAGCAUGAUCUCAUUUUCUGUUGUUUUUUUUUUUUUUUUUUUUUUUGGAGACAGAGUCUCACUCUGUCACCCAGGCUAGAGUGCAAUGGCGUGAUCUCGGCUCACUGCAACCUCUGCCUCCCGGGUUCAAGAGAUUCUCCUGCCUCAGCCUCCCGAGUAACUGGAAUUACAGGCGUGUGCCACACCCCACGCCCAGCUAAUUUUGUAUUUUUAGCAGAGAUGGGGUUUCACCAUGUUAGCCAAGUUGGUCUCAAACUCUCAACCUCAGGUGAUCUGCCCGCCUCGGCUUCCCAAAGUGCUGGUAUUACAGGCGUGAGCUACCACGCCCAGCCCGUGAUCU
rnacentral:lncRNA from 10 species